rnacentral:lncRNA from 1 species
GGACUACAAGCAACCACCCACCUGAGUAUAAGAGCCUGUGUUUUUCAGACCCUCCUUUGGGAUGUUGUAGUAGGCUUGAACCCUUUUAGAUGCUGGAGUAUACUGCAUGGUCCCUCUGAUGCUCUCUCCUCCCCAGCCUGCAAGAUAUCUACUUCUCACACACCAACAGGAGCUGAAUUCCCCCUAACCCCAUCCAGGAUGGUUCUUCAUCCUGCCUCAAGCUCUGUACUUGCCAGCAUCUCAAAAACAUCAUAUGCAGCAGAACUACCUGGAUGCAGUGAUGUUCUUCUCUAUAUGACCUUGCAACGAUGUUUUUCUUUCCCAACUCAUAACCAGGAGUUUUAUCUUAAUCCUUUGUUGCAAUCUCAGCAUGUGAAUUCACACUGGCAAUGAAGAGCAAGGAUUCCAGGUUCAGCUUUGAUUAAAGAAGUGGUACAAAUGGAAUGCAUAAUGGUCAG